rnacentral:rRNA from 1 species
ACGGGGUAGGAACACGUAGGUAACGUACCCUCGGGGCGAGGACAGCCACGGGAAACUGUGGGUAAUACUCGAUAAACUUCCUGAACAUUAUGGUAUGGGAAGCAAUGGGUGUGAUUCCACCUGAGGAGCGGCUUACGCAGUAUCAGCUAGUUGGUGAGGUAACGGCUCACCAAGGCUACGACGCUUAGGGGGUGUGAGAGCAUGGCCCCCACCACUGGCACUGAGACACUGGCCAGACACCUACGGGUGGCUGCAGUCGAGAAUCUUCGGCAAUGGACGCAAGUCUGACCGAGCGACGCCGCGUGUGGGAUGAAGGCCUUCGGGUUGUAAACCACUGUCAGAGGGGAUGAAAUAUACGGGAGUUAUCUCCUGUAUUUGACAGAGCCUCAGAGGAAGCACGGGCUAAGUUCGUGCCAGCAGCCGCGGUAAUACGAACUGUGCGAACGUUAUUCGGAAUCACUGGGCUUAAAGGGUGCGUAGGCGGUUAUCUAAGUCAGGUGUGAAAUCUCUCGGCUCAACCGGGAAACUGCGCUUGAAACUGGAUGACUGGAGUGAUGCAGGGGUGUGUGGAACUUCCGGUGGAGCGG